UGAGCGACCUACCUAAUUGUGGGGGAUAGCCGGCCCAACGGCCGGGUAAUACCGCGUGCGAUCGGAGAGGGGCAUCCCUUUCUGAGGAAAGCCUUCGGGCGCAAUUUGAGGGGCUCGCGGCCUAUCAGCUAGUUGGCGGGGUAACGGCCCACCAAGGCGACGACGGGUAGCUGGUCUGAGAGGAUGGCCAGCCACAUUGGGACUGAGAUACGGCCCAGACUCCUACGGGAGGCAG
rnacentral:rRNA from 1 species